UGGUUUUCAGAAAAAAUGUGGUGUAUUUACUAAUGUAAUUUCAACUUGUUACUCAAGAUUGCUGGUUGAUCAAUGACAUGGCAACAAGCUAGUUUCUUAAGAAAUGGGUGUUUAUGGGUUUUAACUGUAUCAUUUAGUUUUGCUUAAUGAUAUGUCUGUGUGUUGGUUGACCAUCAUAUGAAUAGAUUGUGUUUAACUCCAUCAAAAAUGAG